rnacentral:rRNA from 1 species
AGCAGCAGCCGCGGUAAUACAGAGGGUGCGAGCGUUAAUCGGAUUUACUGGGCGUAAAGCGUGCGUAGGCGGCUUCUUAAGUCGGAUGUGAAAUCCCUGAGCUUAACUUAGGAAUUGCAUUCGAUACUGGGAAGCUAGAGUAUGGGAGAUGAUGGUAGAAUUCCAGGUGUAGCGGUGAAAUGCGUAGAGAUCUGGAGGAAUACCGAUGGCGAAGGCAGCCAUCUGGCCUAAUACUGACGCUGAGGUACGAAAGCAUGGGGAGCAAACAGGAUUAGAUACCCGCGUAGUCCCUGUCUCUUAUAC